rnacentral:rRNA from 1 species
UACGGAGGGGGCUAGCGUUGUUCGGAAUUACUGGGCGUAAAGCGCGCGUAGGCGGACCUGCAAGUCGGGGGUGAAAGCCCGAGGCUCAACCUCGGAACUGCCUUCGAUACUGCGGGUCUCGAGUCCGGGAGAGGUGAGUGGAAUUCCUAGUGUAGAGGUGAAAUUCGUAGAUAUUAGGAAGAACACCAGUGGCGAAGGCGGCUCACUGGCCCGGUACUGACGCUGAGGCGCGAAGGUCAGGGGAGCAAACGGG